AUUGAACGCUGGCGGCAGGCCUAACACAUGCAAGUCGAGCGGAUGAGUGGAGCUUGCUCCAUGAUUCAGCGGCGGACGGGUGAGUAAUGCCUAGGAAUCUGCCUGGUAGUGGGGGAUAACGUUUCGAAAGGAACGCUAAUACCGCAUACGUCCUACGGGAGAAAGUGGGGGAUCUUCGGACCUCACGCUAUCAGAUGAGCCUAGGUCGGAUUAGCUAGUUGGUGGGGUAAUGGCCCACCAAGGCGACGAUCCGUAACUGGUCUGAGAGGAUGAUCAGUCACACUGGAACUGAGACACGGUCCAGACUCCUACGGGAGGCAGCAGUGGGGAAUAUUGGACAAUGGGCGAAAGCCUGAUCCAGCCAUGCCGCGUGUGUGAAGAAGGUCUUCGGAUUGUAAAGCACUUUAAGUUGGGAGGAGGGGCAGUAAGUUAAUACCUUGCUGUUUUGACGUUACCAACAGAAUAAGCACCGGCUAACUUCGUGCCAGCCGCCGCGGUAAGAC
rnacentral:rRNA from 1 species